GCCCACGUGGUGGAAUUGGUAGACACACUAGCUUGAGGGGCUAGCGCCGCAAGGUGUGUCGGUUCGAAUCCGACCGUGGGCACCA
rnacentral:tRNA from 1 species